rnacentral:lncRNA from 1 species
GGAGGGGAUGGGCCUGGGUCAUCUCAGCUGUUUUCCUGCCUGUGACUUUGUCAGCUGGGGGCCCUUCUGAGCCCCUGGAAGGCCCAGGGUGCUGAUAAGCUGCUUCAUGUCAUGACAGUGAGAUGGGAACAGAGCAGGGGUGGUCCCAGGCAGUGGUCAGUGGGACCUGCCUCGGCCAUGAGAGGCCAUCUCCUGCUCUCCUGUGGGGAGGUUCCGGGUUCUUGAGGUAUAAUUUACCAGCAGUGAAACGCACCCUUUUCAAGUGGACCAUUUGAAUUUUGUUGACUGUGCAGAGGCGAGAACCCACCAGUACAGCAGAGCUGAAGCCUGUUCCCAGAACGGGUCUCUUGUCCCAUUGCAGUCCCCUGCCCGAUUCAGCAACCACUGACUGUUUUCCAAGCCCCAGGUAUUCUAUCUUUCCUAGUCUGUCAGUACAUAGAAUUGCAUCGCAUUGGCUCGUGCCUGUAAUCCCAGCUUAGCGGGAC